UUCUUAAUUAUUUCGAGGCCACUUGAUCCAACACUCCUCCCCGGGAUAAAAUUACUUUGCCAAGGGCUAAUCAAUCCACCCAUAAAGGCUCUCAGUCUAUCAAAAGAACCUUUGAAAUAAGCUUAUACACCAUGUUACAUAAGCUUAUAGGAUGAAAGUCUUUGAAACAUCCCCUUUAGGAAUAAGCGCCAACAAAGUCUCUAUCACUG
rnacentral:lncRNA from 1 species